rnacentral:rRNA from 1 species
UCUAGUGAUGAUGGCAAAGAGGUCACACCUGUUCCCAUGCCGAACACAGAAGUUAAGCUCUUUAGCGUCGAUGGUAGUUGGGGGUUCUCCCCCUGCGAGAGUAGAACGUCGCUAGGC